rnacentral:rRNA from 1 species
GGCAACUCCGUGAGUAAAGUGGCGACCGGGUGAGUAACACGCCUAACCUGCCCUCGAGUGGGGAAUAACCCCGGGAAACCGGGGCUAAUACCGCAUAACAUCCGCGACGCGAAAGCGCUGCGGAUCAAAGGAGCAAUUCGCUUGAGGAGGGGGUCGCGGCCGAUUAGCUAGUUGGCGGGGUAACGGCCCACCAAGGCUGAGAUCGGUAGCCGGCCUGAGAGGGCGCACGGCCACACUGGAACUGAAACACGGUCCAGACUCCUACGGGAGGCAGCAGUGGGGAAUUUUGCGCAAUGGGGGAAACCCUGACGCAGCAACGCCGCGUGGAGGAUGAAGUCCCUUGGGACGUAAACUCCUUUCGACCGGGAAGAUAAUGACGGUACCGGAAGAAGAAGCACCGGCUAACUCUGUGCCAGCAGCCGCGGUAAUACAGAGGGUGCGAGCGUNGUUCGGAAUUAUUGGGCGUAAAGGGCGCGUAGGCGGUGCGGAAAGUCACCUGUGAAAUCUCCUGGCUCAACUGGGAGCUUGCAGGCGAAACUGCCGUGCUG